AGCAUAUCAAUAAGCGGAGGAAAAGAAACCAACAGGGAUUACCUCAGUAACGGCGAGUGAAGCGGUAACAGCUCAAAUUUGAAAGCUGCCAACAGGCCGCAUUGUAAUUUGUAGAAGAUGCUUUGGGUGUUGGCCUAGUCUAAGUUCCUUGGAACAGGACGUCAUAGAGGGUGAGAAUCCCGUAUGUGACUAGUGCCGCCCCCCGUGUAAAGCUCUUUCGACGAGUCGAGUUGUUUGGGAAUGCAGCUCAAAAUGGGUGGUAAAUUUCAUCUAAAGCUAAAUAUUGGCCAGAGACCGAUAGCGCACAAGUAGAGUGAUCGAAAGAUGAAAAGCACUUUGGAAAGAGAGUUAAACAGUACGUGAAAUUGUUGAAAGGGAAGCGCUUGCAAUCAGACUUGCAGGCGGUUGAUCAUCCGAGGUUCUCCCCGGUGCACUCGAUCGUCUUCAGGCCAGCAUCGGUUUCCGUGGUGGGAUAAAGGCUGUGAGAAUGUGGCUCUUCGGAGUGUUAUAGCUCACGGUGCAAUGCCGCCUACGGGGACCGAGGAUCGCGCUUCGGCUAGGAUGCUGGCGUAAUGGUUGUAAGCGACCCGUCUUGAAACACGGACCAAGGAGUCUAACAUCUAUGCGAGUGUUUGGGUGUCAAACCCAUACGCGUAAUGAAAGUGAACGGAGGUAAGAACCCUUUAGGGUGCAUUAUCGACCGAUCCUGAUGUCUUCGGAUGGAUUUGAGUAAGAGCAUAGCUGUUGGGACCCGAAAGAUGGUGAACUAUGCGUGAAUAGGGUGAAGCCAGAGGAAACUCUAGUGGAGGCUCGCAGCGGUUCUGACGUGCAAAUCGAUCGUCAAAUUUGCGUAUAGGGGCGAAAGACUAAUCGAACCAUCCGUAUGGCAUAUGUUAGAUCAAACAAAGUGUUAGUUUAUCAGUGAGGAAGCCUUGUUCGCAAAGCAAAAUUCA
rnacentral:rRNA from 1 species